GAAGGCGGCCCCCUGGACAGAUACUGACACUCAGAUGCGAAAGCGUGGGGAGCAAACAGGAUUAGAUACCCUGGUAGUCCACGCCGUAAACGAUGUCUACUUGGAGGUUGUGGCCUUGAGCCGUGGCUUUCGGAGCUAACGCGUUAAGUAGACCGCCUGGGGAGUACGGUCGCAAGAUUAAAACUCAAAUGAAUUGACGGGGGCCCGCGCAAGCGGUGGAGCAUGUGGUUUAAUUCGAUGCAACGCGAAGAACCUUACCUACUCUUGACAUCCAGAGAACUUUCCAGAGAUGGAUUGGUGCCUUCGGGAACUCUGAGGCAGGUGCUGCAUGGCUGUCGUCAGCUCGUGUUGUGAAAUGUUGGGUUAAGUCCCGCAACGAGCGCAACCCUUAUCCUUGUUUGUCAGCGAGUAAUGUCGGGAACUCCAGGGAGACUGCCGGUGAUAAACCGGAGGAAGGUGGGGACGACGUCAAGUCAUCAUGGCCCUUACGAGUAGGGCUACACACGUGCUACAAUGGCGCAUACAGAGGGCAGCCAACUUGCGAGAGUGAGCGAAUCCCAAAAAGUGCGUCGUAGUCCGGAUUGGAGUCUGCAACUCGACUCCAUGAAGUCGGAAUCGCUAGUAAUCGUGGAUCAGAAUGCCACGGUGAAUACGUUCCCGGGCCUUGUACACACCGCCCGUCACACCAUGGGAGUGGGCUGCAAAAGAAGUAGGUAGUUUAACCUUCGGGAGGACGCUUACCACUUUGUGGUUCAUGACUGGGGUGAAGUCGUAACAAGGUAACCGUA
rnacentral:rRNA from 1 species